rnacentral:rRNA from 1 species
GAUGAACGCUGGCGGCGUGCCUAAUACAUGCAAGUCGAACGCUGGAGCUCUAGCUUGCUAGAUCGAAGGAGUGGCGAACGGGUGAGUAAUACAUAAGCAACCUACCCACGAAGACUGGGAUAAUCUCUGGAAACGGGGACUAAUACCGGAUAGGUAAUCGGAAGGCAUCUUCUGGUUAUUAAAGGUUAAAAACACUGGUGGAUGGGCUUAUGGCGCAUUAGUUAGUUGGUGAGGUAACGGCCCACCAAGACGAUGAUGCGUAGCCGGCCUGAGAGGGUGAACGGCCACAUUGGGACUGAGACACGGCCCAGACUCCUACGGGAGGCAGCAGUAGGGAAGUUUCAGCAAUGGGGGCAACCCUGACCGAGCAACGCCGCGUGAGUGAAGACGGCCUUCGGGUUGUAAAGCUCUGUUGUAAGGGAAGAACGGUAGAUAGAGAAUAUCUAAGUGACGGUACCUUACCAGAAAGCCACGGCUAACUACGUG